rnacentral:tRNA from 1 species
GGGCUGGGGCUCAGUGGUAGGGCACUUGCCUGGCAUGUGAGGCGCUGGGUUCGAUUCACAGCAUCACA